GACGAACGCUGGCGGCGUGCUUAACACAUGCAAGUCGAGCGAUGAAAGCCUUAUGAACUAUUCGUAGUGAUUGGGGCCGGAUUAGCGGCGGACGGGUGAGUAACGCGUGAGCAACCUGCCUUAAACAACGGGAUAGCCUCGGGAAACCGGGAUUAAUACCGUAUGAGACCCCGCCUUCACAUGAAGAGGAGGUUAAAGAUUUAUCGGUUUAAGAUGGGCUCGCGUCUGAUUAGCUAGUUGGUGAGAUAAAAGCCCACCAAGGCAACGAUCAGUAACCGGCUUGAGAGAGUGAACGGUCACAUUGGAACUGAUACACGGUCCAAACUCCUACGGGAGGCAGCAGUGGGGAAUAUUGCACAAUGGGGGAAACCCUGAUGCAGCGACGCCGCGUGAGCGAUGAAGGAAUUCGUUUCGUAAAGCUCUGUCCAAGGGGAAGAUAAUGACAGUACCCUUGGAGGAAGCCCCGGCUAAAUACGUGCCAGCAGCCGCGGUAAAAC
rnacentral:rRNA from 1 species